UACGUAGGGGCCUAGCGUUGUCCGGAAUUAUUGGGCGUAAAGAGCUUGUAGGCGGUUUGUCGCGUCUGCUGUGAAAAUCCGAGGCUCAACCUCGGACUUGCAGUGGGUACGGGCAGACUAGAGUGUGGUAGGGGAGACUGGAAUUCCUGGUGUAGCGGUGGAAUGCGCAGAUAUCAGGAGGAACACCGAUGGCGAAGGCAGGUCUCUGGGCCACUACUGACGCUGAGAAGCGAAAGCAUGGGGAGCGAACAGG
rnacentral:rRNA from 1 species